rnacentral:rRNA from 1 species
CCUACGGGACGCAGCAGUGGGGAAUAUUGCACAAUGGGGGAAACCCUGAUGCAGCGACGCCGCGUGAAGGAAGAAGUAUUUCGGUAUGUAAACUUCUAUCAGCAGGGAAGAAAAUGACGGUACCUGACUAAGAAGCCCCGGCUAACUACGUGCCAGCAGCCGCGGUAAUACGUAGGGGGCAAGCGUUAUCCGGAUUUACUGGGUGUAAAGGGAGCGUAGGCGGUAAUGCAAGUCAGAAGUGAAAGCCAGGGGCUCAACUCCGGGACUGCUUUUGAAACGGGGUUACUAGAUUGCAGGAGAGGUAA